rnacentral:rRNA from 1 species
AUUGAACGCUGGCGGCGUGCUUAACACAUGCAAGUCGUGCGGUAACAGGCGUAGCAAUACGUGCUGACGAGCGGCGAACGGGUGCGUAAUACAUGGGAAUCUGCCUUUUAGUGGGGAAUAACCCGGCGAAAGCCGGGGCUAAUGCCGCAUAAGAUCUUCGGAUGAAAGCGGGGGAUCGUAAGACCUCGCGCUGAUAGAUGAGCCCAUGCCGGAUUAGCUAGNGGUGAGGUAACGGCUCACCAAGGCGACGAUCCGUAGCUGGUCUGAGAGGACGGCCAGCCACACUGGGACUGAGACACGGCCCAGACUCCUACGGGAGGCAGCAGUGGGGAAUAUUGGACAAUGGGGGAAACCCUGAUCCAGCGACGCCGCGUGUGUGAAGAAGGCCUGCGGGUUGU